UACGAAGGGUGCAAACGUUGCUCGGAAUUAUUGGGCGUAAAGCGCACGUAGGCGGCUUAGUAAGUUGGAUGUGAAAUCCCUCGGCUUAACCAAGGAAGUGCAUCCAAAACUACUGAGCUUGAGUACUAAAGAGGAUCGCGGAAUUCCCGGUGUAGAGGUGAAAUUCGUAGAUAUCGGGAGGAACACCAGUGGCGAAGGCGGCGAUCUGGGUAGAUACUGACGCUGAGGUGCGAAAGCGUGGGGAGCGAACAGG
rnacentral:rRNA from 1 species